rnacentral:rRNA from 1 species
AUUAAAGUUGUUGCAGUUAAAAAGCUCGUAGUUGGACUUGUGUGCGCUGACCGCGGGUGGCCUGCGCCCAAAAGGGCGUUUCGGUUCGGCCCCGGUGGCGCCUUGAAAUCAGCAGCUGGGGGGACGUUGGCCUUAACUGGUCGGCGACCGCACGCCGGCUGCUCGGUUACUGUGAGAAAAUUAGAGUGUUCAAUGCAGGCAUUGGGUGCAAUUGAAUACAUUUGCAUGGAAUAAUAAAAUAUGGCUCCUGCCGUAUUUUGUUGGUUUUGACUGGUGGGAGUAAUGAUUGAUAGGGACGGUUGGGGGUGCUAGUAUUGAGCGGCCAGAGGUGAAAUUCAUGGAUUCGCUCAAGACUAACUUAUGCGAAAGCAUUCACCAAGGACGUCCUCUUUAAUCAAGAACGAAAGUUGGGGGAUCGAAGACGAUCAGAUACCGUCGUAGUCUCAACCAUAAACUAUGUCGACUUGGGAUCGGCGGUAGUUUUUUCAUUAAGACACUGUCGGGACCACGGGAGAAAUCAAAGUGUCUGGACUCUGGGGGAAGUAUGGUCGCAAGGCUGAAACUUGAAGGAAUUGACGGAAGGGCACCACCAGGAGUGGAGCCUGCGGCUUAAUUUGACAACACGGGGAAACUUACCAGGUCCAGAGAUGUAGAGGAUUGACAGAUUGAAGCUCUUUCUUGAUCACUUCAGUGGUGGUGCAUGGCCGUUCUUAGUUGGUGGAGUGAUUUGUCUGGUUAAUUCCGUUAACGAACGAGACCUCAGCCUGCUAGUGUAGUCGGCUGGAUUGCCUUUGGCGAUCCGUGAUUUCGACUUCUUAGAGGGACAAUCGACGCGCAGUCGAUGGAAGUUUGAGGCAAUAACAGGUCUGUGAUGCCCUUAGAUGUUCUGGGCCGCACGCGCGCUACACUGCUGGGCUCAGCGAGUUUUACUUGGCCGAGAGGCCCGGUUAAUCUUGUGAAAUCCCAGCGUGCUUUGCUCGCCUCCUGCAACUGGAGGCGCCAACGAGGAAUUCCUAGUAGACGCAGGUCAUCAACCUGCAUCGAUUACGUCCCUGCCCUCUGUACACACCGCCCGUCGUUCCAUAAGAGUGAGGCAUCCGGUGAAUUCUCGGGAGAGCCUGGGCGUGGCCAGCAAUGGUCUGCUCGGGUUUGAACUUGCAUAAACUUGGUGCCUAUGAUUAGGG